rnacentral:tRNA from 1 species
GCCCCAGUAGCUCAGGGGAUAGAGCGUCGGUUUCCUAAACCGUGCGUCGGAUGUUCGAAUCAUCUCUGGGGUGCCA